rnacentral:lncRNA from 1 species
UGACUCAGCCAAAUUGGGCAGAAAUUUUGCUGAGUUCGGCAAUUUUUAUAAUCUGCAUGAAAAAUUUUUAAACGGUUAUAACUUUUCUCUCGAAUGACUGAUUUUAGCGUGUAACUUCAAUUCGAAAAAUACUUUUUGAGAUCUAUGCGUUGAACAGCUAAGCCAUUCCUGCCGAGUUUGGUGCCCAAAUUCAACUGUUU